rnacentral:rRNA from 1 species
UACGUAGGGUGCGAGCGUUGUCCGGAAUUAUUGGGCGUAAAGGGCUCGUAGGCGGUUUGUCGCGUCGGGAGUGAAAACCAUGAGCUUAACUCAUGGCUUGCUUUCGAUACGGGCAGACUAGAGGUAUGCAGGGGAGAACGGAAUUCCUGGUGUAGCGGUGAAAUGCGCAGAUAUCAGGAGGAACACCGGUGGCGAAGGCGGUUCUCUGGGCCGGUACUGACGCUGAGACGCGAAAGCGUGGGGAGCGAACAGG